rnacentral:lncRNA from 1 species
GUGAGUUCAGCAGAGAAUGCUUGCAACUCGAAGACCCUGGGGAGGCAGGGUUGACAGUGAUUCUCCAAGGGUAUUAAAUUCUCUCUGUCUGUGGAAUUUGUUCCUUUUCUUAUUCAUAGAUUUGGUAUUUAAUGAAUGUAUAUUGUGUUGGAUAUCAUUCGGGGCAUCGAGAUUCGGGGUUUGAAGCAUCCUUGUGAUCAUCCUUGUGAUCAUCUAAGCAAACACCUGUAUCUCAGGGGCAGCUUCCGGCCAAGAAGACCAAGUGUCCUUGAAACUGGGGAUGGUCUAAUUUGCUGAGUUUCUGGGCUGGGCCAUAAACAGUUAAUCAUGGGAAGUUACUCUGUGUCUUUGAGUCCUGCUGCCCCAGUGUUCCCUCCUCACCUAUUCUGGAUCUCUGUUGUGCAGCUGGCACAGGCAUGAGCUGUUUGCCAUUUUCUCGGAAAGAGCUGCACCCUGCUUGGAAUUCCUGUUGGUGGAGGGGGUGAUGCUGGGGAUGACUAGAACACCUCCUCUCUUCCAGCCCCAGGGGAGUGGGUGUUAGGUUCCUUCAAGGCUUGGCUCCUGUCUGAAACAAAACUCGGCUUCACCCAGAACCUGCAGGACUCUGUAGUACUGAGGUAAAAAUCAGCUUUGUGUCCAGACUUAGAGCCAGAGGUCUGACCCCUGCUUUCCAGUCACUUGCAAAUGCCAGACCUCAGAUUUUCCCUCUUCUAGAAUCUUUCAUUCUGAAUGACUUCUCAGGGCCUAGGAAAAUGCCUACCUGAAAAUCUAGAUUUCUCAAGUGUGUUUCUGAGUCUUAGUGAAUGGAAGAGAGGUGCUCUCAGAAGAGAGACAUUUGUGACAAAGGUGAGGAAAGGGGUGGGGAGCCACAACAAGGAAGAUGAUGUUUACAAGCUCUUAGAUAGUUAUCCCAGCUUGGAAAUGGCAAUAUGAGGAUUAAAUGGGGUCAUGGAUGCCACAUGGUCGUUCUCCCAGGGGUUGGAUUACUAGGACCGCAAGGCCAUGGGCAGGUGUGUUUGAAAGUGAGAGCUGAGUCACCAUAGGGUGGGCAAACAUGGGAAGAGGUCAGAAAACCUGGUCAUUGGCAGUCAUGGGAAAUCCAGGAGGCUGGAGGCAGUGGACAGUCCACUGUGGUGUUAGGAAGACAGCAUAGCUUGACAUACAAGCUCACACGGGCCCAACCAUAAACAACAUGCUUGGUAGUUACGAGGACACAUACCAACAUUCCAGAGCCCAGGAAGUAUAAACAUGGAGAACCAGGCUCUAUCUAGCAGUGGCCAGAGUCCUGGAGGACAGGGAGGAGCAAGGGCCUGGAGGACUGACUGUGCCCCUGUCCCUAAGACUUUGGAAGCUAAAGGUUUGACCACAGGACACUAGCCCUCCCAAGUGGGAGGCAGGAUCUUCUAGGAGCAAAUGGGGAGGAUGGAUGGGGCUUUCCGCAGCCACCUUUGGGAAUUGUAGACACAAGGGACUAGGAAAUAAGGAAUCAGAAAAGCCCACAGCCAGUGACGACACCACAGCUAAGGGCAAGGAACGAAAAGUGGAAAAUGUGAGUGGGGAGAAAGGAAUGGAGCUAGCAAAAAGGGGGGUGGGGUGGGAAGAGGAUACAGGAGACAGAAUUAUGGGAUGGAAGGAUGAGUGCAGCACCCUGCACUCCUUCAGGGAUGGAGCCUGGGUUUUAACUAGACUGGCUGGCCAACAAGCCCCAGGGAUCCAUCUGUCUCUGUCAGUCUACCCCACACCCCUCCCUUGCCAGCCCUG